UUUUCCUGUUUUAUUUUGUGUUUCCUGUGUCUGCUGGGCCAUUUGCAGCUGCUGAAAGUGAAUUUUUGUGUAUUUUUCCCCCUGCAGGGCUGGCAGUUUCUGUUGCUGGCAUGGAGAAAGCCCUGCAGCAAUACACCCUGGAGCCCUCUGAGAAAGCCUUUGACAUGAAAAGUGUUCCCCUGGCCACUGCCCCCAUCUGGGAGCAGAAAUCAGAGAUUACCCUGGUGG